CUGGGUAUUAAUGAGGAUGGGGUACAGGUUAUCCACCAUGACCUGCCAGUCCACUCAAUAUCUGACCCUAGCUGGGAUAACAAAGGGACAAGCUUAACUGACAGCGCAAACUACAAAGACUGCAUGUGUCAAGGAACAAACAGGAGGGAGCAUCGCUGACGGAAAGGCUGAAGGAGGCCCAGGCUAGUAUCAAGAUUCACAUCAAACACAUAGACUUCUGUAUGUCAAUCACACUCCUAUUUCCAAAGGAAGGAGGGGGAGGGGAGGGAGACCAAGAGGGGGGAGGAAGGGAGGACCACAGUAAAGGGAGGAGCACAGAAAUGCCCUCAUUCAUGCCCAAGUCCCCAGCACAGCUUCUUGGUAGAAAGAUUUGACAAGAGCUUAGUAAUCAGCCAGUUCACUAGUCAGUUCCCCCUUGUAAUUAAUAAUUAGCCAGGGGUGCGGGAGGGACCAGGAUCCCUGAGUGCCAAGUCUCCUCUAGGCUUCCACAUUACACUGCCUUUCCACACACAGUCCUAUGCCGGCCUUCCAUCAACCCUGUUCCAGCCGGCACACUUCCAGCCUGGCCUAUUCUUCCUCCAAAGUUGCAGAGUCAAAGUCUUCAGGGCUCUGGCCCAUCCUACCAGAACCACUGCAGGGAUGCCUCCAUACCUCAGUUUCCCCAACUCCAUCAAAGUGAGAGCCAUGAUGGCUGUUGGACAGGCAGCUUCCCCCAGAGCCCGGCUCUGGCGAAGGCAGCCACCAGUACACUGCAUGGACAGGAGCAGCAGUGUGGUGCGGGUCAGUGGACGAAGCCCUUCCACAUAAAAGAAAAUGAAGCCAGGCAUGGCGGUGCAUACCUUAAUCCCAGCACUAAGGAGCCUGAGACAGGAGGAUCAUGAGUUCGAAGCCUGCCUGGGACACACACACACACACACACACACACACACACUCAUUCACAUGCUAUUGAUAGAGCGGGUGAAUGUAUGGAACUAUACUCAACAUCAC
rnacentral:lncRNA from 1 species